rnacentral:rRNA from 1 species
GAUGAACGCUGGCGGUCUGCUUAACACAUGCAAGUCGAACGGAAUCUUUCGGGAUUUAGUGGCGGACGGGUGAGUAACGCGUGAGAAUCUGCCUUCAGGUUCGGGACAACAGUUGGAAACGGCUGCUAAUACCGGAUGUGCCGAGAGGUGAAAGCUUAAGUGCCUGGAGAUGAGCUCGCGUCUGAUUAGCUAGUAGGAGUGGUAACGGCACCCCUAGGCGACGAUCAGUAGCUGGUCUGAGAGGAUGAUCAGCCACACUGGGACUGAGACACGGCCCAGACUCCUACGGGAGGCAGCAGUGGGGAAUUUUCCGCAAUCGGCGCAAGCCUGACGGAGCAAGACCGCGUGAGGGAAGAAGGUCUGUGGAUUGUAAACCUCUUUUGAUAGGGAAGAAGACAGUGACGGUACCUAUCGAAUCAGCCUCGGCUAACUCCGUGCCAGCAGCCGCGGUAAUACGGAGGAGGCAAGCGUUAUCCGGAAUUAUUGGGCGUAAAGAGUCCGUAGGUGGGUAACCAAGUCAGCUGUUAAAUAGUGAAGCUUAACUUCAUAGAGGCGGCUGAAACUGGUUGUCUAGAGUGUGGUAGGGGUAGAGAGAAUUUCCAGUGUAGCGGUGAAAUGCGUAGAUAUUGGAAAGAACACCGGUGGCGAAAGCGCUCUACUGGGCCUGCACUGACACUGAGGGACGAAAGCUAGGGGAGCGAAAGGGAUUAGAUACCCCUGUAGUCCUAGCCGUAAACGAUGGAUACUAGGCGUUGCCCG